GAACAAGUCUGUGGUAUUUGCGUUGAUGAAGCAGAAUAUCCAGUGGUUACCUCUUGCGGACAUGUCUUCUGUAAGGAUUGUUUCAUAGAUUACUCUGCAGCACUGGGAGAAGGCUCAUGCCCCAAGCAGA